UACGUAGGGGGCUAGCGUUGUCCGGAAUCAUUGGGCGUAAAGCGCGUGUAGGCGGCCCGGUAAGUCCGCUGUGAAAGUCCAGGGCUCAACCCUGGGAUGCCGGUGGAUACUGUCGGGCUCGAGUCCGGAAGAGGCGAGUGGAAUUCCUGGUGUAGCGGUGAAAUGCGCAGGAUAUCAGGAGGAACACCAAUGGCGAAGGCAGCUCGCUGGGACGUGACUGACGCUGAGACGCGAAAGCGUGGGGAGCAAACAGG
rnacentral:rRNA from 1 species